rnacentral:misc_RNA from 1 species
AACUUGCAACAACGUGUCUCUUGGUUCUGGCAUCGAUUAAGAACGCAGCGAAAUGCGAUAAGUAAUGUGAAUUGCAGAAUUCAGUGAAUCAUCGAAUCUUUGAACGCACAUUGCGCCCUCUGGUAUUCCGGGGGGCAUGCCUGUUCGAGCGUCAUUACAACCCUCAAGCUCUGCUUGGUAUUAAGCUUCACCUGUACAGGCGGGCUUUAAAAUCAGUGGCGGUGCCAUUUGGCUUCAAGCGUAGUAAUUUUCUCGCUUUGGAUAACCGGAUGUGUGCUUGCCAGCAACCCCAAUUUAAUCAAAGGUUGACCUCGGAUCAGGUAGGGAUACCCGCUGAACUUAAGCAUAUCAAUAAGCGGAGGCU